GACGAACGCUGGCGGCGUGCUUAACACAUGCAAGUCGAACGGAAAGGCCCUGCUUUUGUGGGGUGCUCGAGUGGCGAACGGGUGAGUAACACGUGAGUAACCUGCCCUUGACUUUGGGAUAACUUCAGGAAACUGGGGCUAAUACCGGAUAGGAGCUCCUGCUGCAUGGUGGGGGUUGGAAAGUUUCGGCGGUUGGGGAUGGACUCGCGGCUUAUCAGCUUGUUGGUGGGGUAGUGGCUUACCAAGGCUUUGACGGGUAGCCGGCCUGAGAGGGUGACCGGCCACAUUGGGACUGAGAUACGGACCAGACUCCUACGGGAGGCAGCAGUGGGGAAUAUUGCACAAUGGGCGGAAGCCUGAUGCAGCAACGCCGCGUGCGGGAUGACGGCUUUUGGGUUGUAAACCGCUUUCGCCUGUGACGAAGCGUGAGUGACGGUAAUGGGUAAAGAAGCACCGGCUAACUACGUG
rnacentral:rRNA from 1 species